CCCAUAAAAUCCCACAAUGAAGGCAGCGGUGUUUCUACUAUUGGUCCUCGCUUUCAUGGCAGGACAGGCCCUCUCUCAGCUUUUGGUUGAUCCCAGAAUUCGUGAGCCUACCAAAAAUCCAAAAUAUUUGUGCCGUUAUCCCUACCCUGCAUAUUGUGGGUAGCGGUAUUUUUUUAAAUAAAUGUGUGCAAUCGAGGCUACUCAUUGACAGAUUCGGGAAUACCUUAGUUUGUCAUCGAUGCUAGCCGAUUGUGAAAGCAAUGUA